rnacentral:rRNA from 1 species
AAGAAGUUACUUAAGGGCGAACGGAGGAUGCCUAGGCUUCUAUGGGCGAAGAAGGACGUGGUAAGCUGCGAAAAGCUGCGGUGAUUAGCAAACAUGAGUUGAUCCGCAGAUCUCCUAAUGGGGCAACCCGGCCGGUUGAAGACCGGUCACAUCGAGAGAUGGGCCAACGCAGGGAACUGAAACAUCUAAGUACCUGCAGGAAAAGAAAGAAAUAUCGAUUCUCUGAGUAGUGGCGAGCGAAAGGGGAAUAGCCUAAACCAAUAUUGUUUCGGCAAUAUUGGGGUUGUAGGACCGCGAUAUUGAGUUAUAAAAUGAAGUGGAAUUAACUGGAAAGUUAGAUCGUAGAGGGUGAUAAUCCCGUACAUGCAAGUUUUAUAAUUUAUAGCGGUAUCCUGAGUAGGGCGGG